CCUGCGGUCAGGCACCCGCGCGGGAGGCGCCGCGGCGACACAAAGAGCCCUUUGUAGAGCUUCCCGGCCCGGGCCCUGGCGUCUGCGGCCCAGCACGCACACAGCCGGGAGGGACGCACACAGCCGGGAGGGGCACACACAGCCGGGAGGGACGCACACAGCCCGGAGGGGGCUCGCACAGCCAGGAGGUGACCUCACAGACCUGGCACUUGGGCUCAGCGGUGGAGAGGGGGCACUGGCUGGGCCACCUGUCCUGUGGAUUUGGGCGGGGCCCACAGUCUGCGCCGGGAGCUCAACGAUUCCAGGGCCCCUGCAGCCCUACCCGCCCGGCCCCCUCUGCCUCCCAGAGAUGAAAGGGGAAAGCCACUGUGGGAGCUUGGUCUAAGGUGGCGUGAAGAGGGCAGCUACUGGAGCUGGCCUGCAGUAGAGACGGGGUUUCACCAUGUUGACCAGGCUGGUCUCGAACUCCUGACCUCGUGAUCCGUCCGCCUCGGCCUCCCAAAGUGCUGGGAUUACAGAGCCACCGCGCCCAGCCUCAGUCCCACUUUUUAACCGAGGUCUACAAAGAUGUGACACAGGGCUGCCAUUUGCUGGGGCUGAUGCUGAGCCGGGCACUUCAUGAUGGUGCGGGGAGCAGGCACCAUGCCUGGUGAUCCAGAGGGGGUCCCGUCAACACAGAUGAGGGAGACAGAAGACCCAGCUACGUAUCUAUCUUCAGAAACAUGCUGGCUCGUGGCUGCCAGCCUCCACACCCCAGCGCCAGCGUCACCCCCACACACACUCACAUACUGCUGCAUCAGAACAGGCUGUUGAAUAUUUCAUGACCGACGCUCAGCGGCCUAAAUUAUUCACCCCGUAACCAAGGCACAGUGAGUGCCGGGGUCUUGGGGAUCAGGGGCUGGUGGGGGCCCACUGGGUUCUUUCUGCAGAGGCCCACGGCGGUGUACACAGCGGGUGGGGGGCCAGACCUGCAGUGAGCUCUGCUCUCUCAGCACUCCCUACUUGGCAGAGAUCCAUGACCCAGGGGUGCCCAGCCAGCCAGAGAAGGUCUGAGAAGCUGGCAUCAAGCAGGAUCUGAGCAGCAGGGGGAAGUGGUACCCACGGCCUCCUGCAGGGCCGCUGGCUGGCACUCCCAGCCCAAGUUCCUGGCACGGAAUGAGCCCUCAGUAAGUGCUGGAGCUCAUCACCAUUCUCAUUAGUAUUCCACCAUCUGCACUCAUGCGCCCCAUUAUGGAGUCAGAGCCUCCAGCUUGGAAUACCCCAGAACAUGAGGCAGAUAUGCUGUUGGGCUGGGUGGGAAGGGGUCCUGGCUCAACAUCCCCUUCCACCUUGGCCUGAGGACAAGAAGAACAAUGGGCACUCUCACAGUCACUGGGGAGUAUUACAAAGAUAUGGAUGAGCAUAAGGACCAAAAUGAAAUUCCCAUCACACACCUGGAAUCCAAGCACCUCGGGAGGCCAAAGCAGGAGGACUGCCUGAGCCUAGGAGUUCGAGACCAGCCUGGGCAACAUAGAGAGACCUCCGUCUCUACAAACAAUACAAAAAUGAGCCAGGUGUGUUGGUGCACACCUGUAGUCCCAGCCACUCAGGAGGCUGAGGAGGGAGGAUCACUUGAGUCCAAGAAGUUGAGGCUGCAGGGAACUAUGAUCAUACCGCUGCACUCCAGCCUGGGUGUCAGAGCAAGAGCCUAUCUCUAAAAUAAAUAAAUAAAUGAGAAAAUAAACAAAAUUCCCAUCACUAGAGAGAGGAAUUAAUAAAAGUAAUAAUAGUAAAUAAUAA